rnacentral:rRNA from 1 species
GAUCAAGCGUUUUAAGGGCUUCCGGUGGAUGCCUUGGCGCGUAGAGGCGAUGAAGGACGUAGCACGUUGCGAUAAGCUUCGGUGAGCCACGAGCAGGCUUUGACCCGAAGAUUUCCGAAUGGGGAAACCCACCUUCAGCCUUUGGUUUUCGGUUGUCUGAUACUUCGGUACCAGACAGUCGAUUUCCAAUGGCUGAUCAAAGGUAUUUUAACCUGAAUACAUAGGGUUAAAAGGCAAACCCGGGGAACUGAAACAUCUAAGUACCCGGAGGAAAGGACAUCAACCGAGACUCCGUUAGUAGUGGCGAGCGAACGCGGACCAGGCCAGUGGUGAUUUCUACAUAACUGGAACUGUCUGGAAAGGCAGGCCGUAGUGGGUGACAGCCCCGUACAGGUAAACCGGAAAUCAUCCUCGAGUAGGGCGGGACACGUGAAAUCCUGUCUGAACGUGGGGGGGACCACCCUCCAAGCCUAAGUACUCCUACGCGACCGAUAGUGAACAAGUACCGUGAGGGAAAGGUGAAAAGCACCCCAAUGAGGGGAGUGAAACAGUUCCUGAAACCGGAAGCUUACAAGCAGUUGGAGCCCCCUUGCGGGGUGACAGCGUACCUUUUGUAUAAUGGGCCAGUGACUUAGUGUAACGAGCAAGCUUAAACCGUUAGGUGUAGGCGCAGCGAAAGCGAGUCUGAAUAGGGCAAUUCAGUUCGUUGCAUUAGACCCGAAACCGAGUGAUCUAGCUAUGAGCAGGUUGAAGGUGCGGUAACACGCACUGGAGGACCGAACCCACUUAUGUUGAAAAAUGAGGGGAUGACUUGUUGCUAGGGGUGAAAGGCCAAUCAAACUCGGAGAUAGCUGGUUCUCCGCGAAAUCUAUUUAGGUAGAGCGUCGCAUGAAUACUGACGGGGGUAGAGCACUGAAUGGGCUAGGGGGUCUCACCGACUUACCAAACCUAAUCAAACUCCGAAUACCGUUAAGUACUGUGCGGCAGACACACUACGGGUGCUAAGGUCCGUAGUGGAAAGGGAAACAGCCCUAACCGCCAGUUAAGGUCCCAAAGUAAUGGCUAAGUUGGAAAGGAUGUGGGAAUGCCCAGACAACCAGGAGGUUGGCUUAGAAGCAGCCAUCCUUUAAAGAAAGCGUAAUAGCUCACUGGUCAAGCGUUCCUGCGCCGAAAAUGUAACGGGGAUUAAGCCAUUCACCGAAACUGCGGGCUUGCGUAAGCAAGCGGUAGCGGAGCGUUCCGUAAGCCAGUGAAGCCAUCUCGCGAGAGGUGGUGGAGGUAUCGGAAGUGAGAAUGCUGGCAUGAGUAGCGAUAAAGAGGGUGAGAGACCCUCUCGCCGAAAGUCCAAGGGUUCCUGCGCAAUGCUAAUCAGCGCAGGGUUAGCCGACCCCUAAGGCGAGGCCGAAAGGCGUAGUCGAUGGGAAUCUGGUAAAUAUUCCAGAGCCAGUGGGUAGUGACGGAUUGCGUAUAUUGUUUCCCCUUAUCGGAUUGGGGAGGCGAUGAAGCGGUCCCUGGAAAUAGCUCCCACAUAAGAUCGUACCCCAAACCGACACAGGUGGACAGGUAGAGCAUACCAAGGCGCUUGAGAGAACGAUGCUGAAGGAACUCGGCAAAUUGCACGCGUAACUUCGGGAUAAGCGUGACCCUCAUCCGGGCAACCGGUUGGGGGUGUCACAAAAUUGGGGGUGGCGACUGUUUACUAAAAACAUAGGGCUCUGCGAAGUCGCAAGACGACGUAUAGGGUCUGACGCCUGCCCGGUGCCGGAAGGUUAAAUGGAGCGGUGAGAGCUGCGAAAUGAAGCCCCGGUAAACGGCGGCCGUAACUAUAACGGUCCUAAGGUAGCGAAAUUCCUUGUCGGGUAAGUUCCGACCUGCACGAAUGGCGUAACGACUUCCCCACUGUCUCCAGCAUCGACUCAGCGAAAUUGAACUCUCCGUGAAGAUGCGGAGUUCCCGCGGUCAGACGGAAAGACCCCGUGCACCUUUACUACAGCUUCACAGUGGUAUUGGCGACAACAUGUGUAGGAUAGGUGGGAGACUUUGAAGCCCGAGCGCCAGCUCAGGUGGAGUCAUCCUUGAAAUACCACCCUUGUUUUCGCUAAUAUCUAACUGCGGUCCAUGAACCUGGAUCCGGGACCCUGUGUGGCGGGUAGUUUGACUGGGGCGGUCGCCUCCCAAAGAGUAACGGAGGCGCGCGAUGGUAGGCUCAAGCUGGUCGGAAAUCAGCUGUCGAGUGCAAUGGCAUAAGCCUGCCUGACUGUGAGACUGACAGGUCGAACAGAGUCGAAAGACGGUCAUAGUGAUCCGGUGGUCCUGAGUGGAAGGGCCAUCGCUCAACGGAUAAAAGGUACGCCGGGGAUAACAGGCUGAUGAUGCCCAAGAGUCCAUAUCGACGGCAUUGUUUGGCACCUCGAUGUCGGCUCAUCGCAUCCUGGGGCUGGAGCAGGUCCCAAGGGUUUGGCUGUUCGCCAAUUAAAGCGGUACGUGAGCUGGGUUUAGAACGUCGUGAGACAGUUCGGUCCCUAUCUGCCGUGGGUGUUGGAAAUUUGAGAGGAGCUGUCCCUAGUACGAGAGGACCGGGAUGGACAUACCUCUGGUGGACCUGUUGUGGCGCCAGCCGCAUUGCAGGGUAGCUAUGUAUGGAAUGGAUAACCGCUGAAAGCAUCUAAGCGGGAAACCAGCCUCAAGACUAGAUUUCCCUAUCAGAGCCGUGGAAGACCACCACGUUGAUAGGCUGCGUGUGGAAGCAUGGCAACAUGUGAAGCUUAGCAGUACUAAUUGCUCGAUUGGCUUGAUCUU